CAAACAGCCAGCUGUCCCAGCACUGAGGAGGAAACACCAUGAUAUGUUGAGGACAGCUACAGUUCACUGACUCUGUGUGUUUGCAUAUCUGUCCUGCCUCUCUGCUCCCAGCCGUUAAGAGGCCAGUGUUGAUCAGUGGCUGUCCAGGCCUUUCAGAGCCACUGACACGCCGGCUGCACAAUGAUGAUGUCACUGAUUCCACUGCUGGCCACCCUGGGGCUCCUUGUUCAGGGUUCAUCAGGACAAAUCGUCCUGACUCAGUCUCCUGGAUCUCAGUCUGUUGUUCCAGGACAGACUGUCUCUCUCAGAUGUAAAACCAGUACGAGUGUUAGUAGCUCCCUCCACUGGUACCUUCAGAAACCUGGAGAAGCUCCUAAACUCCUGAUUUAUGCAGCUACAAACCGUCACUCUGGAGUUCCAGGUCGUUUUAGUGGAAGUGGAUCUGGGACUGACUUCACUCUGACCAUCAGUGGAGUUCAGGCUGAAGAUUCAGGAGUUUACUACUGUCAGCAGAGUAGCAGCUACCCGUUCACACAGUGAUACAACGUCGUACAAAAACCUCCCUCAGCUGGAGAGGAACUGAUCUGACUCAACAGCUGCACUGAAACUAAAACAUUAGAAGCUUCUCUAAAAGAAAACUCAUGAUUGUCUUAAAAAGUUAUGUUUUUAAUACAAUUCAGCAGAGUAUUUUAUUAUUACUGACUAACAGUGUUCGAGACAUUAUCACACUGUUACAGUUUACUCAAACACUAUUUUACAGCAAAGUUUCAAACAGGAAAAAAAUGGUUCAACAAGGAAUUGUAACACAAAACUCUGAAUUAUUUGUUCAGGUGAAAAUGUUUAAUCUUUGACUGAUUUGUUGAGGCGAUUGGCAUUGGCAAUUAUCUUUUUUAAUUAAUAUUGUUAGUUCAAAAAUAAAUAAAAAGAUAGUGCAGAAGUUAAAAUAAAGGAAUAUAAUAUGAUAUAUAUAAUAUAAUAUGAUGAAAUAAAACAUAAUACUGUAAAUAUUAAACUAUAAAACUGUAGUAGGCAGGUGCACAGUAAUGAUAAAAUUAAAAAACUGUAAUGUAUGGGCAGAUAAAAACAGGAUUUUAGACAGGCAGUCCACUCAUAUACAUAUAUACUGUGAUGGUUACACAGGUAGUAUAAAUAAAUAUAUAUAUACAGGACAAAGCUGAAUGAAAGAGUGGAGAAACAUAUCAAAUGCAGAUGUUUCGGUGCAUUCAGGGCUCACUGAACGGUUUGGUGAGGAUGAAAAUGAUGUGAAUAACAUGCUCCGGCCUUUACAGUCACCAGAUCUCAACCCAGGUUCACACCUGUGGAAGGUUUUGGACCAACGUGUAAGACAACGCUCUCCACCACCAUCUCAAUAUCACUGAAUCACCAUCAAUAUCACCAUCUCACUGAUUUGCAAUAGAUUGUGACCACUGACUGUACAUCGUCUAAAUUUCCACUUAUUUUUGACUUCCAAGCUUCUGAAUGUCAGCUUCCCAACAGCAGCAUCCUCCACAGCCUCAUACCAAACCUGGAAAGCAAUAUGGCCACUUUCUCAAAAUGAAUGCUUCAGGCUUUAAGUGAGAAUAUUAUGAUUUACUGACAAAAUGUAUUCCAGCAAACAAAUGUAUUUUAUUGUUGUGACCCUAAAUGAUUUAUGUAAUAUGUAAAUCUGUUAAAAAUUAAAUUCUUUCCUUAUG